CUGAAAAACCCCUGUUGUCCUUCAACUAUAAAAACCCCCCCC
rnacentral:tRNA from 1 species